ACCCUCCCAUUCCCUUUCCAAUCAGAUCUGAACACUGGCCUUGGCUGUCAUAAAAAGAGGAAAAGUAAUACUGAAGCUGGCCUAACAGUGUUGUAGUCUGGUAUAUAGCAUGUCGGCUAAUUUGAAACAGGU